rnacentral:tRNA from 2 species
GUCUCUGUGGUCUAGUCGGUUAUGACGUCGGUCUCAUACUGCUUGCAAAGUGUGACUUCUUCGCAGAAGAAGCGAUCCGAAGGUCCGCAGUUCGAUUCUGCGUAGGGACA